GUGAUCAAGCGACGCCGCGUGCGGGAUGAAGGUCUUCGGAUUGUAAACCGCUUUUGUUUGGGGAGAAGGCCCAUAUCGUGAAUAUGGGAUUGACGGUACCAGACGAAUAAGCCCCGGCUAACUCCGUGCCAGCAGCCGCGGUAAGACGGAGGGGGCAAGCGUUGUUCGGAAUUAUUGGGCGUAAAGGGCUCGUAGGCGGAUCUGAAAGUCUGACGUGAAAUCUCCACCGCUCACCGGGGAGGGGCCGUUGGAUACUACAGAUCUGGAGUUCGGUAGAGGGUCGUGGAAUUUCGGGUGUAGCGGUGGAAUGCGUAGAUAUCCGAAAGAACACCGGUGGCGAAGGCGGCGACCUGGGCCUGAACUGACGCUGAGGAGCGAAAGCUAGGGGAGCAAACGGGAUUAGAUACCCCGGUAGUCCUAGCCGUAAACGAU
rnacentral:rRNA from 1 species